rnacentral:rRNA from 1 species
AGACACGGCCCCCACUCCUACGGGAGGCAGCAGCAGGGAAUCUUGCACAAUGGGCGAAAGCCUGAUGCAGCGACGCCGCGUGAGGGAUGAAGGUUUUAGGAUCGUAAACCUCUUUUCUUAGGGAAUAGUUUGGAAGGUACCUAAGGAAUAAGUCACGGCUAACUACGUGCCAGCAGCCGCGGUAAUACGUAGGUGGCAAAUGUUGUCCGGAAUCAUUGGGCGUAAAGGGUCCGUAGGUGGCUUGAAAAGUCUUAUGUGAAAUCUCUUGGCUCAACCAAGAAACGCCAUAAGAAACUUUCAUGCUAGAGAUCAUCAGAGGGAGGUAGAAUUUCAGGUGUAGUGGUGAAAUGCGUAGAUAUCUGAAGGAAUACCAAUGGCGAAAGCAGCCUCCUGGGGUGAAUCUGACAUUGAGGGACGAAAGCGUGGGUAGCAAACCGGAUUAGAUACCCGGGUAGUCCACGCUGUAAACGAUGAAUACUGGGUCUUCGGGGAAUCGACCCCUUGUGGACCGAAGCUAACGCGUUAAGUAUUCCGCCUGGGGAGUACGGUCGCAAGACUAAAACUCAAAGGAAUUGACGGGGGCCCGCACAAGCAGCGGAGCGUGUGGUUUAAUUCGAUGGUAAACGAAGAACCUUACCUAGGUUUGACAUAUAAGUGGUACUGACCCGAAAGGUGAUGGACCCGCAAGGGAGCUUAUACAGGUGCUGCAUGGUUGUCGUCAGCUCGUGCCGUGAGGUGUUGGGUUAAGUCCCGCAACGAGCGCAACCCUCGUGGAUAGUUGUUUUCUUUAUCCAGACUGCUUUUACAAGAGGAAGGUGGGGAUGACGUCAAAUCAUCAUGGCUCUUACACCUAGGGCUACACACACGCUACAAUGGACAGUACAGACGGUUGCUAAGUCGCAAGAUGGAGCCAAUCCGAUAAAGCUGUCCCCAAUUGGGAUUGUAGGCUGAAACUCGCCUGCAUGAACCUGGAGUUGCUAGUAACCGCAGAUCAGAAUGCUGCGGUGAAUACGUUCCCGGGCCUUGUACACACCGCCCGUCAC